rnacentral:tRNA from 1 species
GCUAUGGCCAAGUGGUAAGGCGAUAGAUUCUGACUCUAUUAUUCCGAAGGUUCGAAUCCUUCUAGC